UGGAGAUUUAUCCUUGGCUCAGGAUGAACGCUGGCGGCGUGCCUAAUACAUGCAAGUCGAGCGAACAGACGAGGAGCUUGCUCCUUUGACGUUAGCGGCGGACGGGUGAGUAACACGUAGGUAACCUACCUAUAAGACUGGGAUAACUUCGGGAAACCGGAGCUAAUACCGGAUAAUAUUUCGAACCGCAUGGUUCGAUAGUGAAAGAUGGCUUUGCUAUCACUUAUAGAUGGACCUGCGCCGUAUUAGCUAGUUGGUAAGGUAACGGCUUACCAAGGCAACGAUACGUAGCCGACCUGAGAGGGUGAUCGGCCACACUGGAACUGAGACACGGUCCAGACUCCUACGGGAGGCAGCAGUAGGGAAUCUUCCGCAAUGGGCGAAAGCCUGACGGAGCAACGCCGCGUGAGUGAUGAAGGUCUUCGGAUCGUAAAACUCUGUUAUUAGGGAAGAACAAACGU
rnacentral:rRNA from 1 species